UACUACUUGUAGAUAUUUUCUCUGAAUUUUCAGUCCUUUUCACUGUGAAAAAUGAAUUGCUAUGUCACCUAUGUUGCAUUUGCAGCUAAUGUGUUGCUUACCUGACAAGGGAAGAAAUUGUUAGUUGCUCUUAAUCUUUCAUCUUAUCAAGUUAUGUAGAAUUGAAUUUUUUGACAUGUUGGACUACUUACAUAAAUCACGCGGAACAUGCUAUUUAAAGAUCUUUAGGUUGACUUCUGGGUCGAAUAUAGUCACUAGCCUAUAUUGGGUACACAAGACUGCACAAGAUAUGAAUGUUUGUCCUUUUGUCUCCUUUUUCGAGGGUGGGGUGGGAAAAGUGAGGAGGGAUUUUGUAUGUAGGACUUUCAGCAAUCUCAUCAUCAUAUGAUAGAUCUUUUUCAUAAUUCUUGCAUUUCCACUCUCUGUAUGAGCUCUCUUGAGAGGAAGAUGUGAUAUGCUUCAUUAAGCUUACAUGCUUUCAUUUUUUACAUUGGUUAGAUAAUACUCAUAUUGCUGUGACCCCCCUGCAGACAAUCUCCCAAGAAACUUUCGAGUUUGUAGCUAGUCCUUCAAAUUUUAGCAAGAUUUUGAAUUGGACUACAUCUGUGUCAGCACGCUCUUAAGGUGGCUUGAAUCAAGCUGGAAAAUCUAUUUCGUUAUUCGACGUAGUCUUAUAGCUAAGAUUUUUGACUUGUAUGAAAAUGUUAGUUUCCCAAGCUGGCAAGGUCAGCUAUGCAGCUACUUAUAGAUAAAGUAUUUCCUCCUCACAGUAAGAUCGUAAGUUGCAUAUGAUUAUGCAUUUUUGGUGCAUUUAGUCUUUAGAUUGCCUGGAUGGCUGGAUAUGGAAGGACGAGUAUUAUCUUUUCAACUAACCCUAAGUAAAUAGUAGAUUGCUAUUGAUCCUCCAUUUUUUAUGGAAUUAGAUUGCCUAGAUAUGGAACGCAGGAACGAUGAGUGUUAUCUAUACAUUAACUUAAGAGCAAUAUAUUUUCUUCUCAGUUUGUCAUUGUUCGGGUGCUAUGCAAGAAAUCUUUUUUCUUUUUUUUUUUUGAAAUGGGAGAAAGAGAAGAGUUUGCGCCAUCUGGUGCCUGAGGAAUUAAGGCUUUUUAAUCGUCCAAUUCUAAUGCAUAUAUGCCUAAAGAGUAAAGCCUUCAAUACACUAAGUCACUAAGCCAUACCAAUUUGUCAUUUGUUAUCUAUGAGUGAUGUGUCGUUCUUGAAUCUUGAUGUAUUUACUUUGAUUGCCGAAGCUGCUUCUCCUCUAGGCUGUCUGAACCAAGAACUGCAAACACUUUCGGUUUUGAUGAUUCUCUAUGAUAUACUUUUAAUCUGGGAAGAUGUGUCAUUCUGUUCAUUACUCUUCCUUUAAGAGAAGGAGAUCAUUUUGCGGAUUAGACUAUCGAGAUCAACAUGUACAAAACAUGAUACCGUUUCUGAUCUCCGAGCUUCAGAACAGCUGAAUUUGAAAGAGAUAUGCUUCUCAAUCAGUUUCUGAUGCUGUAAAGCCUGUAACAAGCAGGAAGAGGUCUGCAUUGCGAGACUCAGAGGUUACUGUUCCGUAUGUUGAGGAGUGUGAUUUUGCAUCUCCCAUCCAAACUCAAAAUAUGGAGCAUGGAGACGGCCUACCUCAAUCUUCAAAUGGGAAAUUUGCAUCUAGGAAAUUGUCCACUUCUAUUGAGUCAAAAUUGGCAAAGAAGCAGGGCUUCAGGCUAACCUUACACAAACUCCAAACAAGCAGUCUGAUCCAAGUUACAGGCUUUAUAGUGACAUUUUCAAUUCUCCAGCAGGUAUGAUCCCUUUUGCUGAUACUUGUACACCUGAGCGGUGCAAUAUUUGUAGAGGGAGGACCUGGCUCAGAGGACUUUGAGGUAGAAUUAACUGCAAGAGUUGUGCAAUAUGUACCAUUAUGGUUCAACUGUUAAAGAUCAAGAGGAGUGCUUGAAAUUGUGUGUUCUGCGCGAAAUCGGAAAAGACUUGACACAACUACAAGCUUCAAUGGACUACUGCCAGUAUCUCAAGUCAGAUUGCUCGUCUCAGAACAAGGUGGUGCUGGAAAAAAAGAAGAAGAUAAUGUUGAUUCAGCAGCUUCCGUAUAUGGCAUUGUUUUCAGGAAAUUGAUUAUUAGAGGAUCGGCACCCUGAGUUCAUGGACGAUGUGGUUGGCCUAGUUACCCUUCUUGCAACAGCUUCCACACCUACGCUUGGUAAUUUAAGGAAAGUGAGCGCGGUGCAUUUUCCUACCAUCGCUCAAGAUUGUGAAUUGGUUGUCUCUUCGAGGGAGGUCAUAAUGAGAUUGAGAAAAAGAAAUUGGAGUUAUGCUUAGUGGAGAAAGCAAUUGUGUGUGCAAAUGAAAAAAGCUCUUUUCUGAGAACAGACAGUACUGUUAUCACACAAUCAUCCAAGAGAAUGGCUCUCGUGAUCUUUCUGACGCAACAAAUAGAGUAAAAGAUGGGAGAAAUGAUUAGCUGAUGUAAACAUCAACGCCACUCAAAGAACAAAGCAUAGAUUACAGUAGAAAAUUAUAUUUUUCAAAAGUUCUUUCUACAGGGCUGGUGCCUGGUAAGUAGUUAAAUACUCUCUUAUCACUUCUUUAUUUCAGGUCGAAAAGUUCAAUACAUUUUCCUAUUAAAUCUA